AAAACCAGAUACUCCUAUUGAAGUAAGUUCCCCAAAUGACGGAGACCAAAGUGAGGAAACUUCAGAUAAAGAUCCGAUGCCGUUUCCUGUGGGACAUGUGGCUGCACACCAGUCAUGAGGAUCACACCAAUGGCCUUUCAUAUGUAUAACAAGUCAUCUAUGACUGACUUAAAUCCACGGCUGAAUUCUUAGGACUGGGCAGAACAGUCUAAGGUGAUAGCCAUAUUUUCACAAGAGCUCAGGAAAUGAACCUCACUCUGUGGAACUGAAAGCUGGUGGCUGAACUGAGAACUCUGCCACACUGUGAUCCAAACCAGGGCUGCCACCUGCAGGAACAACUCAAAGUCUGUUUAUGUCAUGCUGAAGUUGUUAAAUUGCAAGAUGUUUCCGGGCAUCCAUGCAAAGAAGAGAUUAUGAAAAAUCUUUCAUUGUUUUCUUCUCAGUACACAAUGGUUGCCAAGGUUGACUCCAGUGCUGUAUCAACGUGAUGAUCUUCCUAGUCUAAACCUUUACUUUCUAGAGUUUCAGGGACAACUGUUAGCAUCAUCUGGACUAGAUGCAUCUCAGAAAAACAACAGCAACAACAACAGCAGCAACAGCAACAGCAAAAAGAGAAACAACAGCAACAACAGAACAGCAACAGCAGCAACAACAGUAACGACAGCAACAAUAACAGCCAAAAACCGAAAAUGGCUUGAUUUAGCCCAGCCAAAGCUGGAGAAAAGGAAAUUUUCAGUCUGCCCUGCUGUGCCUACAGCAGUGUUACAACUUACAGAAGAGAGAAACUAAAGCCAGGAAACACGCACAUGUCAUUUAGCUGUGGUCCUGGACACAGGAACAGACAAAGAGGCUUUUUCAUGGUUCUACUCAGCACAGUAUUUCCUACAGGCUUCCUGUGGUGGUUUCAGUGAGACUCAUCCCAAAAGCUUAUGUAUGUGACUGCUUGAUUCCCAGUGGAAUUGCUUGAGAAGGAUUAGAUGUGGCCUUGCUGGAGUAAGUAUGGCCUUGUUGGAGUAAUUGUGUUUUGGGAGUGGGCUUUGGGGUUUCAAAUUCGCUUGCUGGGCCCAGUCUCUCUCUCUCUCUCUCUCUCUCUC
rnacentral:lncRNA from 1 species